AGGCCUAACACAUGCAAGUCGAGCGGUAGCACAGAGAGCUUGCUCUCGGGUGACGAGCGGCGGACGGGUGAGUAAUGUCUGGGAAACUGCCUGAUGGAGGGGGAUAACUACUGGAAACGGUAGCUAAUACCGCAUAACGUCGCAAGACCAAAGUGGGGGACCUUCGGGCCUCAUGCCAUCAGAUGUGCCCAGAUGGGAUUAGCUAGUAGGUGGGGUAACGGCUCACCUAGGCGACGAUCCCUAGCUGGUCUGAGAGGAUGACCAGCCACACUGGAACUGAGACACGGUCCAGACUCCUACGGGAGGCAGCAGUGGGGAAUAUUGCACAAUGGGCGCAAGCCUGAUGCAGCCAUGCCGCGUGUGUGAAGAAGGCCUUCGGGUUGUAAAGCACUUUCAGCGGGGAGGAAGGCGGUGAGGUUAAUAACCUCACCGAUUGACGUUACCCGCAGAAGAAGCACCGGCUAACUCCGUGCCAGCAGCCGCGGUAAUACGGAGGGUGCAAGCGUUAAUCGGAAUUACUGGGCGUAAAGCGCACGCAGGCGGUCUGUCAAGUCGGAUGUGAAAUCCCCGGGCUCAACCUGGGAACUGCAUUCGAAACUGGCAGGCUAGAGUCUUGUAGAGGGGGGUAGAAUUCCAGGUGUAGCGGUGAAAUGCGUAGAGAUCUGGAGGAAUACCGGUGGCGAAGGCGGCCCCCUGGACAAAGACUGACGCUCAGGUGCGAAAGCGUGGGGAGCAAACAGGAUUAGAUACCCUGGUAGUCCACGCUGUAAACGAUGUCGAUUUGGAGGUUGUGCCCUUGAGGCGUGGCUUCCGGAGCUAACGCGUUAAAUCGACCGCCUGGGGAGUACGGCCGCAAGGUUAAAACUCAAAUGAAUUGACGGGGGCCCGCACAAGCGGUGGAGCAUGUGGUUUAAUUCGAUGCAACGCGAAGAACCUUACCUGGUCUUGACAUCCACAGAACUUUCCAGAGAUGGAUUGGUGCCUUCGGGAACUGUGAGACAGGUGCUGCAUGGCUGUCGUCAGCUCGUGUUGUGAAAUGUUGGGUUAAGUCCCGCAACGAGCGCAACCCUUAUCCUUUGUUGCCAGCGGUUAGGCCGGGAACUCAAAGGAGACUGCCAGUGAUAAACUGGAGGAAGGUGGGGAUGACGUCAAGUCAUCAUGGCCCUUACGACCAGGGCUACACACGUGCUACAAUGGCAUAUACAAAGAGAAGCGACCUCGCGAGAGCAAGCGGACCUCAUAAAGUAUGUCGUAGUCCGGAUUGGAGUCUGCAACUCGACUCCAUGAAGUCGGAAUCGCUAGUAAUCGUAGAUCAGAAUGCUACGGUGAAUACGUUCCCGGGCCUUGUACACACCGCCCGUCACACCAUGGGAGUGGGUUGCAAAAGAAGUAGGUAGCUUAACCUUCGGGAGGGCGCUUACCACUU
rnacentral:rRNA from 1 species